GGCGGUUCUCGGGUGAUGCACCCUGGAAUCAGGCUCCCUCCUCUCUGGUUCUGGGUGUGUCAGCUGAGAACUGCA
rfam:Myotis davidii contig221035, whole genome shotgun sequence.